rnacentral:tRNA from 1 species
GGAGAGGUGGCUGAGUGGUCGAAAGCGGCUUCCUGCUAAGAAGUUACGGGGUCAAAAGCUCCGUCGAGGGUUCGAAUCCCUCCCUCUCCG